rnacentral:rRNA from 1 species
GACGAACGCUGGCGGCGUGCUUAACACAUGCAAGUCGAACGAAGUGGCGAACGGGUGAGUAACGCGUAAUCAACCUGCCCUUCAGAGGGGGACAACAGUUGGAAACGACUGCUAAUACCGCAUACUGAAGGAGGGGAUUGCGUCUGAUUAGCUAGUUGGGGGGGUAACGGCCCACCAAGGCGAGGGUCAGUAGCCGGUCUGGGAGGAUGAACGGCCAAAUUGGGACUGGGAAAAGGCACAGAAGCCCACGGGAGGCAGCAGUGGUGAAUCUUCCGCAAUUGACGAAAGUCUGACUGAGCAAAGCCGCGUGAGUGAUGACGGCCUUCGGGGUGUAAAGCUCUGUUAAGCGGGACGCGGUACCGGAAUAGAAAGCCACGGCUAACUACGUGCCAGCAGCCGCGGUAAUUC